rnacentral:lncRNA from 1 species
UCUGUGGAUCCAAAAUUUAUAGCAUUCUUCUACCACCACAGGGGCUCAUAUGACAUUGACAGACAAGACACUUUUCAGAAAGACAGACGGAGUCUCCCUCUGUGGCCCAGGCUGGAGUGCAGUGGCGCGAUCUCGGGCUCACUGCAAGCUCCGCCUCCUGGGUUCACGCCAUUCUCCUGCCUCAGCCUCCCGAGUACCUGGGACUACGGGCGCCCGCCACCGCGCCCGGCUAAUUUUUUGUAUUUUUAGUAGAGAUGGGGUUUCACCGUGUUAGCCAGUAUGGUCUCGAUCUCCUGACCUUGUGAUCCGCCCGCCUCGGUCUCCCAAAGUGCUGGGAUUACAGGCGUGAGCCACCGCACCCGGCCAAUUUCACUCCACUUUCAUUGGGGGGAGAUUUGCAGUUAAUUCCAAUUUGAAUAAUAUCUUUGUAACUAAAUUUAUCACGAAGCUCAACAUGACAAUUUAGUAUAGUUAAUCUCCAUUUCGUUUUACUUUUGCACAACUUUUCCAGUGAAGUGAUCCUCUGAGAUUAGGACUAAUUGAAAUCGUAGGGCAAAUAUAUAAAUUGUUUAGAAGGAAGCCUUAAGAUGCUUUAACUCAUGCAAUGAAUUUGAACAUAGAAAUGAGAGGAAAGCUUGGAUAAUUUUAUAAUGAAAGGCUAAGCAUGUUUUCCCCUCAAGAGGAAAAAUUUAAAUUUCAAACUGAAUAUUACUCAAACAUUAAUCAUUUAACUGUAUAGCAUGGGACAUUUUGGGCAUGGCAAAUUCUAAUGGAGGAGACUGCUAGAAAUUCUCAGCCACACAGAAAUCUGACUGCUUAAUUUU